rnacentral:other from 2 species
UGUACCCUGCUGUGUGCGUGAUGCCGGUAUGGGGUUUUGAGCCAACACCUUGAAAAAUGGGGAUCUACGUUCAGGUGUUCAAGCGGUAGCCGUCAGGCAAGGCUGAGCCACCGACGAGUUCCCACCUGCGUAAGCAGGGUCAAAACCAUCGGCACACGGCACGGUGGGGGUGUC